rnacentral:rRNA from 1 species
UAAUACGUAGGGUGCAAGCGUUGUCCGGAAUUAUUGGGCGUAAAGAGCUCGUAGGCGGUCUGUCGCGUCGGAUGUGAAACCCCGGGGCUCAACCCCGGGCCUGCAUUCGAUACGGGCAGACUAGAGUUCGGUAGGGGAGACUGGAAUUCCUGGUGUAGCGGUGAAAUGCGCAGAUAUCAGGAGGAACACCGGUGGCGAAGGCGGGUCUCUGGGCCGAUACUGACGCUGAGGAGCGAAAGCGUGGGGAGCGAACAGGAUUAGAUACCCUGGUAGUCCACGCCGUAAACGUUGGGCGCUAGGUGUGGGGGACUUUCCACGUCCUCUGUGCCGCAGCUAACGCAUUAAGCGCCCCGCCUGGGGAGUACGGCCGCAAGGCUA